rnacentral:rRNA from 1 species
AUGCCAUGCAAGAAGCAUUUCAUCAUCACCACUGAAAAAACUUUUACUAGUUUGGAUGUUGUGCUUGGCUCCAUAGUGCCAUGGCCGCUCAGCACCCACUCUAUACAUUUCCAGCCUCUGCACAACAACAACCACAACAGCAAGCCUUUGCACGUACGCUCUCGCCACCUUCAGUUCACCAUGCCCCCCUUCCUAGUUGCCUUCACCGUCCUCUUGUGCCUACGCACCCCGACCAGUUCUGCCGUGACGGACACCAUCUUGGCCGGCCAAGCGCUCGCCGUCGACGACAAGCUCGUCUCCAGCAAUGGCAGGUACGCGCUCGGCUUCUUCCAGACCAGACACACUGCCAACUGGUACCUGGGCAUAUGGUUCAACACAAUCCCCAAGUUCACUUCAGCAUGGGUUGCAAAUAGGGAUAGACCCAUCAAGAACACCACCUCACUGGAGCUCACAAUCUCCCACGACGGCAACCUUGUCAUCUUAAACCGGUCUGCCAAAUCCAUAGUCUGGUCUACACAAGCAAACAUCACAAGAAAUAGCUCUGCUGCUAGGCUGUUGAGCAGUGGAAAUCUCAUCCUGACAGACUCUUCGGACUCAUCACAGGUUCUAUGGCAGAGCUUUGAUCACCCCACAGAUACAUUUUUCCCUGGGGCGAAACUUGGAUGGGACAAGGUCACCGGCCUGAAUCGCCGUUUGGUUUCUUGGAAAAACAUAAUCGACCCAGCUACCGGUGUGUACUGUGAGCAGUUAGACCCCAGUGGCAUUAACCAGGUAUUUCUUGUAGCAUUGAACUCAUCCACACACUACUGGUCCACCGGUGUGUGGAACGGCCAAUAUUUCACUGCAAUUCCAGAGAUGUCAGCCGCCCACUAUAUUAGUCCAAAAUUUGUCGACAACGACCGUGAGAAGUACGUGACAUAUGAUUUAGUAGAUGAAUACAUGGAUCCAAAUAUGGUUACUCGUCAUGUAGUUGACGUCUCAGGUCAAAUAAAGGCAUUCAUUUGGAUGAAGGGCUUAGAGGAUUGGCUAAUGGUCAAUACCCAACCAAGAGCUCAGUGUGAUGUCCAUGCAAUUUGCGGUCCUUUCACAAUUUGCACUGAUAAUGAAGUGCCACACUGCAAUUGUAUGGUGGGCUUCAAGAUAACAUCGCCUAAGGAUUGGGAGCUAGAAGAUCGGGCGGGUGGGUGCUCGAGAAAUACUCAGUUAGACUGCAUUAGCAACAAAAGCACAACACACACCACAGACAAGUUCUAUUCUGUGCCAUGUGUUAAACUGCCCCAGGAUGUCCCAAAAGUAGAAGCUGCUGCAAGCACGAAUGAGUGCGCACAGGUUUGCCUCAGUGAUUGCUCUUGCACAGCAUACUCCUUUGGCAACAAUGGAUGUUUCAUGUGGCAUAAUGAAUUGCUCAACAUAAGAGCACUAAAAUGCAGUGGCACUACUACUUCAAAUGGAGAAACUCUUCACCUUCGUCUUUCUGCUAAAGAUGUACUACAAAGUUUGAGAAACAACAGAAGAGGGAUCGCUAUUGCAGUUGCAACUGGUAUGGGUGUUUCUGCUCUAGGCUUAUUUGCACUCAUGCUCUUACUGUUGAUUUGGACAAACAAAGUGUUGAGCUCUGGUCAAAUAAUCAAUGAAUCCCAGGUUUGUACUGGAAUCAUGGCAUUUAGAUACAAUGAUUUACAACGGGCAACAAAAAAUUUCACAGAUAAGUUGGGGGGAGGCAGUUUUGGCUCUGUAUUCAAGGGGCUUAUAAAGGGCUCAAAUGCCAUAGCAGUGAAGAGGCUUGAUGGUGCUUAUCAAGGAGAGAAGCAAUUCAGAGCUGAAGUGAGCUCAAUUGGAGCUGUCCAGCACAUAAAUUUAGUUAAGCUUGUUGGUUUCUGUUGUGAGGGCUCCAAGAGGUUGCUUGUUUAUGAAUACAUGUCAAAUCGCUCUCUUGAUGUCCAUCUAUUUCGAAGCAGUUCAGUUUUGAAUUGGACUGCUAGGUAUCAGAUAGGCCUAGGAGUUGCAAGAGGAUUAGCCUACUUGCAUGACAGCUGCCGAGACUGCAUCAUACACUGUGAUAUCAAGCCAGAAAACAUACUUCUUGAUGCUUCACUCCUUCCAAAAAUUGCAGACUUCGGGAUGGCAAAACUCUUAGGAAGGGAUUAUAGCCGAGUAUUGACAACAAUGAGAGGAACUACAGGGUACCUUGCGCCUGAAUGGCUGACGGGAGUUCACAUUACACCAAAAGUCGAUGUUUUUAGCUACGGGAUGGUGUUGCUGGAAAUAGUAUCUGGAAGGAGGAACUCAUGUGCUUUAUAUCCUAGUGAUGGCAACCCUGAUGUUUAUUUUCCUGUGCAUGCCGCACAUAAGCUUAUUGAAGGAGACGUUGGGAGUUUGGUAGAUCACAAGCUACAUGGUACUGCCAAUCUGGAUGAGGUUGAAAUUGCUUGCAAGGUUGCGUGUUGGUGCCUCCAAGACAAUGAGCUUGAUCGGCCAACAAUGGGACAGGUGGUUCAGAUUCUCGAAGGGCUAGUUGAGAUCACAAUGCCCCCGAUACCAAGACUGCUCCAAGCUAUGGCUGGAAGCUCACAUUCAACAUGUUCGUUUUUUGUUUCAGGAAAACGAGCUGCAUUGCGCACUUUGGCAUUAUAA